GAUGAACGCUGGCGGCGUGCCUAACACAUGCAAGUCGAACAAAUCAGAUGUUCAACACUGAGCUUUUAGACGAGGGAAUAAAGUUAGCCAGCAUCAAGGACGAACGAUAGAGAGUCCUUUGCGCGUUAAAAAGUGUGCUAACACAGAGUUGUCUGAAUGUUGAGUGUUGAAUAUCUGAUUAGUGGCGGACGGGUGAGUAACGCGUGGGGAACCUGCCCUAUACAGGGGGAUAGCCUCGGGAAACCGGGAUUAAUACCCCAUAAAACUCUAGUAUCGCAUGAUACGUGAGUCAAAGCUGAGGCGGUAUAGGAUGGCCCCGGUCUGAUUAGCUAGUUGGUGAGGUAACGGCUCACCAAGGCGACGAUCAGUAGCCGGCCUGAGAGGGUGGACGGCCACACUGGAACUGAGACACGGUCCAGACUCCUACGGGAGGCAGCAGUGGGGAAUAUUGCACAAUGGGGGAACCCUGAUGCAGCGACGCCGCGUG
rnacentral:rRNA from 1 species